rnacentral:rRNA from 1 species
UACGAAGGGGGCUAGCGUUGUUCGGAAUUACUGGGCGUAAAGGGCGCGUAGGCGGUGUGUCAAGUCAGGCGUGAAAGCCCCGGGCUCAACCUGGGAACCGCGCUUGAGACUGGCACGCUCGAGUUCGGGAGAGGAUGGUGGAAUUCCCAGUGUAGAGGUGAAAUACGUAGAGAUUGGGAAGAACACCAGUGGCGAAGGCGGCUAUCUGGACGGUUUCUGACGCUAAGACGCGAAAGCGUGGGGAGCAAACAGG